UACGAAGGGGGCUAGCGUUGCUCGGAAUUACUGGGCGUAAAGGGCUGGUAGGCGGCCAACUAAGUCGGAUGUGAAAUCCCCAGGCUUAACCUGGGAACUGCAUCCGAUACUGGUCGGCUUGAAUCCGGGAGAGGGAUGCAGAAUUCCAGGUGUAGCGGUGAAAUGCGUAGAUAUCUGGAGGAAUACCGGUGGCGAAGGCGGCAUCCUGGACCGGCAUUGACGCUGAACAGCGAAAGCUAGGGGAGCAAACAGG
rnacentral:rRNA from 1 species